GACGUAGGGCGCGAGCGUUGUCCGGAUUUAUUGGGCGUAAAGGGCGCGUAGGCGGCCUGCUAAGUCGGAUGUGAAAACUCUGGGCUCAACCCAGAGCCUGCAUUCGAUACUGACGGGCUAGAGUACUGGAGGGGAAAGCGGAAUUCCUGGUGUAGCGGUGAAAUGCGUAGAUAUCUGGAGGAACACCGGUGGCGAAGGCGGCAUCCUGGACCGACACUGACGCUGAGGAGCGAAAGCCAGGGGAGCAAACAGG
rnacentral:rRNA from 1 species